AUCCUGGCUCAGGAUGAACGCUAGCGGCAGGCUUAACACAUGCAAGUCGAGGGGCAGCAUGACACGGAGAUUCGUCGAAGUGUUGAUGGCGACCGGCGCAAGGGUGCGUAACGCGUGAGCAACUUGCCCGUUUCUGGGGAAUAACCGGUGGAAACGCCGACUAAUACCCCAUGGUAUUGACUUUGGGCAUCCUUAGUCAAUUAAAGAAUUUCGGAAACGGAUAGGCUCGCGUGACAUUAGCUGGAUGGCGGGGUAACGGCCCACCAUGGCAACGAUGUCUAGGGGUUCUGAGAGGAAGGUCCCCCACACUGGAACUGAGACACGGUCCAGACUCCUACGGGAGGCAGCAGUGAGGAAUAUUGGUCAAUGGUCUAACGACUGAACCAGCCAUGCCGCGUGAAGGUCACGGCCCUAUGGGUCUUAAACUUCUUUUGUAAGGGAGCAAUAAGCUUUACGUGUAGAGUGAUGAGAGUACCUUACGAAUAAGCAUCGGCUAACUCCGUG
rnacentral:rRNA from 1 species